rnacentral:rRNA from 1 species
GACGAACGCUGGCGGCGUGCUUAACACAUGCAAGUCGAGCGGUAAGGCCCUUUCGGGGGUACACGAGCGGCGAACGGGUGAGUAGCACGUGGGUGACCUGCCCUCAGCUCUGGGAUAAGCCUGGGAAACUGGGUCUAAUACUGGAUAUGACUCCACGGUGCAUGUCGUGGGGUGGAAAGCCUUGUGCGGCUGAGGAUGGGCCCGCGGCCUAUCAGCUUGUUGGUGGGGUGAUGGCCUACCAAGGCGACGACGGGUAGCCGGCCUGAGAGGGCGACCGGCCACACUGGGACUGAGACACGGCCCAGACUCCUACGGGAGGCAGCAGUGGGGAAUAUUGCACAAUGGGCGAAAGCCUGAUGCAGCGACGCCGCGUGAGGGAUGACGGCCUCGGUGUAAC